ensembl:miRNA
AUGAUUGUGGAUGCCGUGCAGGUGCGUCCGCAUUCCCUGCACCACACCGCAGGCCACGC